rnacentral:tRNA from 2 species
GGAGGGUUGGCCGAGCGGUUGAAGGCGGCGGUCUUGAAAACCGCUGUGGGCUUUGGGCCCACCGGGGGUUCGAAUCCCUCACCCUCCGCCA